GAAAUGUCCAGCAGGAAUUUGGGGGUGAGUGGAAUAAUUUAAAGCCUUCAGGAGGAAAUUGCAAAUAAUUUGCAAUGUUCUUUAUGCCAAAAAAGAAGAGCAACACUUAACAUCUGUACAGACUGCUCGGGGGUUGGGGAAAGACCUCAACAAAGUAUUCCUUAGAAUGUAUAUAAUACAAAUGCCUACACUGGCAAUCUUUUUUUUGAGUGUGGGGCUGGGGUCCUGUAGGUUUGUUUUCAAACAGAUGGAUAAACAGAAACAAAACCUCUCCUUCUAAUCCCUGUCUCCUGUAGCCCCUCGCCGAGGAAAGCUGUUUCCAGAGCCGCGGUGUUUUGCGAGGAACUGGAAACCACGUAGCUCCAGGUACCUCAUGAGGCAGAUUUCCUCAUUCCCAGCAUCUGAGGAAGUCCAGGAGCUUAGGCCUUCUGUGCAGUGGAGGUCGCACAGUACCAGAAGACAGCCCAAAUGGACAACAUCUCAACAUGGUGAUGAGACUGUAUAGUCCAGUAUCUGAAGGACUUCUCAGCAAUGCAAACCAGAUAGAGGAGUAAAGGAGGAAGUUCAGCAGGAUUGCUUCCAAGCCUCCAGAGAACGUCCUGCAAAAAUGCUGGGCAACAGUACAUUAGUCUUCAGAUAUGGGCAUUUCUUUGUAACAGGUACUGAUCUAUGCAAGGAUGGAGAUUUGAGGUUACUAGGUGAUUGACAUGACACCAUGGUGCCCUAACAGCUGUAUGUCUACUUUCUCAGUCUUCCCUCCCUAUUUUUCUGUCCACACUGGAGCUGUAUUAUCUAUCCUGGUUAUCAAAUGAGUAAGCACACGAAAGACCAAAAGAUUGGGGUCAUAGUGUCUAGCUCACUAAGUUAUGUUAGAACUCUAAUUUAAUCUGCUCUGUUUUUUUGUGGCUUGGUUUUUUGGGGAGUUUUUUU
rnacentral:lncRNA from 1 species